CCUACGGGUGGCAGCAGUGAGGAAUAUUGGUCAAUGGGCGCGAGCCUGCACCAGCCAAGUAGCGUGAAGGAUGACUGCCCUACGGGUUGUACACUUCUUUUAUAAAGGAAUAAAGUGAGGCACGUGUGCCUUUUUGUAUGUACUUUAUGAAUAAGGAUCGGCUAACUCCGUGCCAGCAGCCGCGGGCAUACGGAGGAUCCAAGCGUUAUCCGGAUUUAUUGGGUUUAAGGGGAGCGUAGAUGGGUGGUUAAGUCAGUUGUGAAAGUUUGCGGCGAAACCGUAAAAUUGCAAUUGAUACUGGCAGUCUUGAGUACAGUUGAGGUAGGCGGAAUUCGUGGUGUAGCGGUGAAAUGCUUAGAUAUCACGAAGAACCCCGAUUGCGAAGGCAGCUUACUAAACUGUGACUGACAUUGAUGCUCGAAAGUGUGGGUAUCAAACAGGAUUAGAUACCCGAGUAGUC
rnacentral:rRNA from 1 species